ACAAAAACAUGCCAUUCUUUUAGGAAGGGUGGUGAAGCUAGCAGGACCUUUGAGCAAAACUUGGUGGACAGUGUUUGAGGCUCACCCAGUACACCUCCCACUUGGACCAAAACAUGAAGUUCCUUCACACACACACAACACAUCACAACACUUCAUCUGUCUCUAAAACACAUCAAAGGGACUACUGAGGCUGAGGGACAUUGGCUGGCACUUCCCCAUCAGUGGAGAUGUGCAGAGGAUCCCCAGACUGGUCAGGGAUGGUGAUGAGCAUCUUCUCCCCAGCAUCUGAUGAGUUGCUGCUCUCCGAGGAUUGAGACGGGUUGGGAAUGUUCUGUGGAGGAACAACAAACAAGCCUCAUUCUCCAAAUCAAUCAUAACUUACACUCAUAAUCUGCACUGUAAUUAAAUAUUUUUUCCAGCAAUGAGCAGGUAACAGGGCUAGAAUGAUGUAAUAUUUAGAUUUUUUUAACACGAACAAUCCAUACUUUGUCCAUUUACUGUAUUGUUACACUCCUGUCACAUUUCUUUGCAGCAUUCAAACACAGGAAAGCUACAAGCUCAAAUCCUUUGCCCUAUUAUCCAUUUACAUAUAAAGGACUAUAUACAAUAGCAAGAGUACACUAAAAUAGCAUUCCAUAAUUUGAGAAGCUGUCACUAUGUGCCAUUACAUCAACACUUUCUCACACUGGUUUGGUUACUCAUGGCCUUUGAUACACGCUCCUUUGUGAAAUAAAUACUGUACAGCAAAACCAAAA